rnacentral:rRNA from 1 species
GAUGAACGCUGGCGGCGUGCUUAACACAUGCAAGUCGAACGAAGCACUUUAACCUGAUUCUUCGGAUGAAGGUUUUUGUGACUGAGUGGCGGACGGGUGAGUAACGCGUGGGUAACCUGCCUCAUACAGGGGGAUAACAGUUAGAAAUGACUGCUAAUACCGCAUAAGACCACAGAGCCGCAUGGCUCGGUGGGAAAAACUCCGGUGGUAUGAGAUGGACCCGCGUCUGAUUAGGUAGUUGGUGGGGUAACGGCCUACCAAGCCAACGAUCAGUAGCCGACCUGAGAGGGUGACCGGCCACAUUGGGACUGAGACACGGCCCAAACUCCUACGGGAGGCAGCAGUGGGGAAUAUUGCACAAUGGGGGAAACCCUGAUGCAGCGACGCCGCGUGAGCGAAGAAGUAUUUCUGUAUGUAAAGCUCUAUCAGCAGGGAAGAAAAUGACGGUACCUGACUAAGAAGCACCGGCUAAAUACGUG